AAAACUAGAACUGCGAAGCUGGCUUCGGUUCGCGAUCCUCCUCUCUGGCUCCGGGCUGCGCGCAGAGUCUGGGUGGCGAGCGAAUGGUGCCUGCGAUCUUCUGCCUCGGGGAGCCGGCUGUCUUCCUUGUGCUAAAAAAACGGAGGAAGUCUGUCUGCCACAGGGCAGAGGGUGGUAUCCAAAGGGUCUCCUCUCCUUGAGUGACUGGUUCCUCCAUUGGAUCUCAGCUCGUAGCUCCUGACCUCAAGCAAGUGCUACUGAAGUGGAAAUGUCUUAUAUCCUGUUUUGUGAUUCCCUGCCUCAGAGCUGAGUCACCCCUGCCUGAAGAAAGGAUCCUUCAUCCCAAGGCUCACUCACUUCCUAUCCAAGCCAUCUCAAGACCUCCGCAUGGCUCUGCUCGCAAGAGCUUUACAGUCAUUUCCUUCUCUCACGUGCCAACGAAACACAUGUGGCCGGCUGAGGACUUGACUUCAUCGGGAGAGGAGAUUAAAGAAUGGUGAAGACCCAAAGAUCUUCAACCAAGCUGGGCAAGUGUUCAACCAUUGAGCUACACCCCCGACCCUCCCUUCCGUUUGGCUGCAACAAUAAACCAGUUGUGUCUAGGAGAUCCAACGCCGGUCAAGCCGCUCUACCCACUGAGCCAUCUGGCUGCCUGUCAAGAAGACAAACUUCUGUUGCGCAGUGCUCAGGCACCUGUGAAGACAGGAACUUGGGGAUGAAUGAGGAGAGAGCCUAGAGAGAAAGGGCCCUCGUCUGGCGCACAGAGUCCCUGAACAGAUUUGGACUGGCUUAGCAUGACCAGCAGUCUCAGCCAUAGACGCGUUCUCUCUCUCUCUCUCUCUCUCUCUCUCUCUCUCUCUCUCUCCUGCCUGUCCAGAAAUAGUUUCCGGGAACCGAGGUGCUUCCCCGCCAGCCAGCGGGGAGAUAAAGCUGCCCGUGUGUGUCGCUUGUCUUGGCUGCCUCUCAGUUGACACCUCUGACAGGCCGCUUUGAUCUCGGGUUAUCAAGGCCUAACCCCGAGCCUGGCCUGCUCUGCCAGCCCUCACUCACUGGGGAAAAGGGCAUUUCAGAAGGUCAGUUCGGGGAGGGGCAGGCUUCUCCUCAUGCCCAGCUGGCCUUGAAGCAUGGGUGCUGGAUGUAGGAAUUGUACCCAGUUUUACUCUGCAGCGGUGAUGGAUGGGGGGGCUGGAGGGAGAUGGGGGCAGGGUCUUGGCUGAGAAAUGAAGCAUUCAAGUGGUGCCUACAGCA
rnacentral:lncRNA from 1 species